ACACUAUAGAUCAAAAUAUAAAAUCAUAUUAAGCUGCAACAAUUUUAAAUUCAAAAUCAGUAUAUGUUUCUAUAUCUUUUGUAAGUUAUCUCAGAUAUUUUCUUGUGGGAAAUUAGUAUCUAAUAUUGUCUACAUUGUUAUUACUGUUCAUAUUAGUGCUAAUUUAAGUAUAGUGGAAAAUUAGACUGUUAAAUAAAACCAAAAGUUGUCGACGGUCGGUUAAAUAUUAAAUCCUGGUAAUAUAAGAUAAAAUAAAAAAAUUAUCAACCUAAUCGCUUAAAGUUGAAGUUAGGUUCACACUUUAGAGAUUCAUCAUCAAUCUUCGCGCACGCAUGCUAUUUACCCGUUAUUUGCUUGAACAAAAAUUAGGUUCACUCUAGGGAAACCAUCGCUUAUUAUCAAUCAAAAUACUACAUAAAAUAAUAAUAAAAUAUUUUUUUAAAAAAAAAAUCUGAAAUAAUUAGAAAAAAAAAUAACGCCAAUUUUAAUGACGUUAACGUCACCAACUAAACCCUAAAUCUAAACCCUAAAUCCUAAAUAUUAAACUCAAACUCUAAAUCCUAAACGCAAACCCUAUACCUUAAACCCCAAUCCUAAACCCUAAACCUAAACCGUAAACCCUAAACCCAAACCCUAUAUUCUAACCCAAAUUCUAGACCCUAAACCCAAACCGUAAACUCUAAAUCCAAAUCCUAAAUCCAAAUCCUAGACUCUAAAUCCUUAACCCAAACCCUAGUCUCUAAACUCAAACCAUUUAUCCAAACUCAAUCUCUAGACCCUAAAUUCAAAUCGUAAACUCUAGACCCUAAGCCCAAAUCCGAUACCCUAAAAGUUUGGCUUAAUGUUGAUGUUCUUUUAGGGUAUAAGAUUUGUGUUUAAAGUCUAUGUUUGGGUUUAAGAUCUAGGGUUUGAGUUUAGGGUCUAGGGUUUAGAUUUAGGGUUUACGGUUUGGGUUUAGGGUUUAGGAUUUGGGUUUAAGGUAUAGAGUUUGGGUUUUGGGUUUAGAAAUAGGGUUUAGAAUUUAGGAUUUAAGGUUUAGGUAGUGGUGUUAGCGUCAUUAAUAUUUGCGUCAUUAUUUUUGUUCAACUAUUUUAGAUUUUUUAAUAAAAUUUAAUCGAUUUUAUUAUUAAUCUAAGUGAGAUUUUGAUUGGUAUUAAAAAGGAAUAUGAAUUUAAAGGAUCAUCCUAAAAGUUCACCUAAGUUUUGUUCUUAUUUUUUGAGUAAGAAAUCAUAGUUACUACAGUUUUAGUUAUUUUUUGUCAAUUAGCUGGAGAUAUAUAAUUGAGUAAGAAAUCACUGUGAAUAAUGUUUUUUUUAAACCGAAAAACAUGAAUAAUUUUUUUUCCUCCACAAUAAUUAACCUCGUAUCCUUUGUAGAAGAAUUUAAAGUAACACAUAACUAAGAGUGAUUGAUUAGGAUGUAAUUAUAAAAAUUUGCUAUAGAAUUUAGUUCGUAGAAUAAUUUGAUUUAGUUGUAUCUAAUAAUGUAACACUGUAACUGUAGGAACUAAAUGAAUAAAUAAAUAAAUUUAUGCAACAAUAUAUUUAAUGUUUUAGAAAAUAAGAUUUUUUAUGUUUAUUUUUUUUUGGUUUUAACUUUAAAAACUCGUUAAAUCAUGAUUGGCAAUUUAUUUCCCUCUAUCUUUUUUUAUUUUUCAUUUCAUCUCAACUACUUUAUUUUAGUCACUCCUAAAAUCUCAUUUUUCUUUAGCCAAAAGUUAAAACAGAAAAAUUCGCGAAUCCGACAUAAAAAGAAAAACAAAGCGAGAAAAUCUUUAAAUUUCCAGAGUCAAUUGUUUCCAUACGAAUGCUUUCGUAAGUAAAUCAGUUUUUGACUUUCACUGGUUGUGAUUAGAAUAUUCUGUAGAAACUAUUCAGUGAAAUAAUAGUUAAAAUAAAAUAAAAAUAUUAAAGCCAUCAUCACAGAAAAUCUCCCUCUAUAUAUACGUAAGCCUUGUACUAUCUCGUUUACUCAUCUCACGGAAUCUGAUCUGAUCUGAUCUGAUCUCAACAGCUGUCUUUUGUUCCAAACUGGUUAGUGUCUAAUUCCCUCCCUAGAUCUACUCUUGCUGAUCUUUUCUCAUCUGGGUCACUCUCAAUUGACUAAAAAAAGUCUCUUCCUUUUGCUCUUGUGUCCCAUCAAAUUCCCGAUUUGAUUUUGCUUUUUGUUUGUUGUUUCAUUCAGAGAGAAGUACAGCGAACAUGCCUCAUGGGAAGUUAGAGAAGAUGGCAUCGAUGGAUGUCCAUCUCCGUCAGUUGGUUCCUGGCAAAGUUAGUGAAGACGACAAACUUGUCGAGUACGAUGCUCUGCUUCUAGAUCGGUUCCUCGAUAUCCUCCAGGAGUUGCACGGCGAGGAUCUUCGUGAAACUGUACGUUUUAUGUAUAACCCAUUUGGCUAAAGAUCAUUAAAGUUAAAUCUAUGAUGAGUUUUAUGAAUAAAAGGUUUUGACUUUAUCAAGUUUCUCUCGAUCAUGGGUUAGAUUAGGGUUUUAAACGAUCAAAGAUUUAAACUUUUGGGGGUUGAGUUACUAUAAAGUAUAAACCCAUUUGGCUAAAGAUCAUUAAAGUUACAUCUAUGUUGAUUUUAUGAAUAAAGGUUUGACUUUGCAAUUAUCUCGAUCAUGGGUUAGAUUAGUGUUUUAAACGAAGAAAGGUUUGAACUUUUGGGGUUUGAAUUAAACCCAUUUGGCUAAAGAUCAUGAAAUUUACAUCUAUGAUGAUUUUAUGAACAAAGGUUUUGACUUUUCAAUUUUCUCGAUCAUGGGUUAGCUAAAGAUUUGAUCUUCUAUUGUUUGUAUAGGUUCAAGAGCUCUAUGAGCACUCUGCAGAGUACGAAGGGAAGCAUGAGCCAAAGAAGCUAGAGGAGCUAGGCAAUGUUCUCACGAGCUUAGAUCCAGGAGACUCCAUUGUUAUCGCUAAAGCCUUCUCCCACAUGCUCAACUUGGCUAAUCUGGCUGAGGAAGUGCAGAUUGCUUACCGUCGUAGGAUCAAGAAGCUGAAGAAAGGUGACUUCGUUGAUGAGAGCUCUGCUACUACCGAGUCUGAUCUCGAGGAGACUUUCAAGAAGCUUGUUGGUGAUCUCAACAAGUCUCCUGAAGAGAUCUUUGAUGCUCUCAAGAAUCAGACUGUUGAUUUGGUUUUGACUGCGCAUCCUACUCAGUCCGUGAGAAGAUCUUUGCUUCAGAAACACGGGAGGUUAGUAGUUUUGUUACUGAACUGAGCUUGCUUUGGAUCGAUGUUUUGGUGUUGAAGUUGACUUUCUUACAGGAUAAGAGACUGUCUGGCUCAGCUCUAUGCUAAGGAUAUCACUCCUGAUGACAAGCAAGAGCUUGAUGAGGCUCUACAGAGAGAGGUAAAAGCUUUGUCAUAUAAUGACUUUGUUUUUUAAUUCAAUCCUGAAAAUGUAAUGUAUUGAUUUGGGUUCUUUGGUCAGAUUCAAGCUGCAUUCAGAACAGAUGAAAUCAAAAGAACACCACCAACGCCUCAGGAUGAGAUGAGAGCUGGGAUGAGUUACUUCCAUGAAACUAUAUGGAAAGGUGUUCCUAAGUUUCUUCGCCGUGUAGACACUGCUCUCAAAAACAUCGGUAUCAAAGAGCGUGUCCCAUACAACGCUCCACUGAUUCAGUUCUCUUCUUGGAUGGGUGGUGACCGUGAUGGUAACCCAAGGGUGACACCUGAAGUCACUAGAGAUGUGUGUUUGCUGGCUAGAAUGAUGGCUGCUACUAUGUACUUUAACCAAAUCGAAGAUCUUAUGUUUGAGGUUUGCUCUCGGUUCUUUCUUUUCCGGUUUAGUCUAGUAUGUAUCCCAUUGAUUCAUUUUGUCCUACUUCUUUUGUAGCUGUCUAUGUGGCGUUGCAAUGAUGAGCUGCGCGUCCGUGCUGAUGAACUUCAUGUAAACAGGAGGAAAGACGCUGCAAAACAUUACAUUGGUACGAGAAGGAACCUGUCUUAGAGAACCUGUUUAUGUCUUAUGGAACUGAUCAUUCAUGUCUUGCAGAGUUCUGGAAGUCAAUUCCACCAACCGAACCAUACCGUGUGGUUCUUGGUGACGUAAGGGACAAGCUUUACCACACACGUGAACGAGCUCGUCAACUGCUCAGCAAUGGAACCUCUGAUGUCCCCGAGGAAGCUACUUUCAACAACUUGGAAGAGGUAAUCAUUUAUUGCAAUUUAGACUCCUUCGAUUCCCGGUUUAGUAUGUAAACCGAUUUUUUGUUGUUGUGUAGUUCUUGGAACCGCUUGAGCUUUGUUACCGAUCACUAUGCUCAUGUGGUGACCGUCCAAUAGCUGACGGAAGCCUUCUUGAUUUCUUGAGACAAGUCUCAACCUUUGGACUCUCUCUUGUGCGCCUUGACAUAAGGCAAGAAUCAGACCGCCACACCGAUGUACUGGACGCUAUCACAACGCAUCUAGAGAUCGGAUCGUACAGAGAUUGGUCCGAAGAGCGCCGCCAAGAAUGGCUUUUGUCUGAGCUAAGUGGCAAACGUCCUCUCUUCGGUUCUGACCUUCCUAAAACCGAAGAGAUCGCUGACGUUCUCGACACUUUCCAUGUCAUAGCCGAGCUUCCUUCAGACAGCUUCGGUGCCUACAUCAUCUCCAUGGCGACGGCUCCUUCUGAUGUGUUAGCCGUUGAGCUUUUGCAGCGCGAGUGUCAUGUGAAACGGCCUUUGAGAGUUGUCCCCCUCUUUGAGAAGCUAGCUGAUCUGGAAGCGGCUCCUGCGGCGGUUGCGAGGCUCUUCUCCGUUGAUUGGUACAAGAACCGGAUCAACGGUAAGCAAGAGGUCAUGAUCGGUUAUUCAGACUCAGGCAAAGACGCUGGUCGUCUCUCUGCUGCUUGGCAGCUGUACAAAGCUCAAGAGGAGCUUGUGAAGGUUGCUAAAGAGUACGGUGUGAAGCUGACGAUGUUUCACGGCCGUGGUGGGACUGUUGGAAGAGGAGGCGGACCGACUCAUCUUGCUAUAUUGUCUCAGCCGCCGGAUACUAUCAACGGCUCGCUCCGUGUCACGGUUCAAGGUGAAGUCAUUGAGCAGUCUUUUGGAGAGGAGCAUCUGUGCUUUAGAACGCUUCAGCGUUUUACUGCUGCAACGCUUGAGCAUGGGAUGCGUCCUCCGGUUUCUCCUAAACCGGAAUGGCGCGAGUUGCUAGAUGAAAUGGCGGUUGUUGCGACCGAAGAGUACCGGUCUGUUGUGUUCCAAGAGCCUCGCUUUGUCGAGUACUUCCGCCUUGUAAGUAUUCCAUCAUUAGCCAUGUGGUUUCGGUUUAUUUGGGUCGGUUAUUUUUGGUUUCGGUUAGUUCGGUUGGGCCACAAUCCCACCGGAAGUUUGGUUUGGUUAGCUUUAUUUUUAAAAUUUUACAAUUUACAGAAAGUAACUUUUCUUUUGUUACGGUUAGAUUUUGGGAUUUACAAAAAAUAUAAAAAAACUUGGAAAUUUUCGGUUAAAUUUGGUUCGAUUAUUUUAGUUUUUUUUUUCUUUUCGUAAAAGGGCUUGAUUAUUCUGGUUAUUUAUUAUAGUUUCGGAUUACUAGCUUAUUUUAUAUUUUUAAAAGAAAUUAAUUUUGAAAACCAAGCUAACCAAAACCAAAAGUAUUUUGAAAAGCUUUUGAAACUAAACCGGAACAAAACCGAAAGUUUCGAUUUUGGUUCGGUUCAGUUCAGCAGCUUUUGAAACUAAACCGGAACAAAACCGAAAGUUUCGAUUUUGGUUCGGUUCAGGUCAGCAGGGCUAUAUUUCAUGUUGACUUGGAUUCUUGAGUUCACUUUCACCUCACUCAUAAUCUUUUCUCUACGCAGGCCACACCGGAGCUAGAGUAUGGUCGUAUGAACAUAGGAAGCAGGCCUUCGAAGAGGAAGCCAAGCGGCGGCAUCGAGUCUCUCCGUGCCAUUCCAUGGAUCUUUGCUUGGACUCAAACGAGAUUCCAUCUCCCUGUGUGGCUUGGAUUCGGAGCAGCGAUCAGGCACGUGGUUGAGAAAGACGUCAAGAACCUACACAUGCUUCAGGACAUGUACCAACACUGGCCUUUCUUUAGAGUCACCAUUGAUCUAAUCGAAAUGGUGUUCGCUAAAGGAGAUCCAGGUAUCGCUGCCUUGUACGAUAAGCUUCUUGUUUCAGAGGAGCUUUGGCCUUUUGGUGACAAACUCAGAGCUAACUUCGAAGAGACCAAGAAACUCGUCCUCCAGGUUAAUACCAAAAACAGAGCUUUCUUGAUUUUCUUGAUUGGUGAUAAAACUCAGAACUAAUCGCUUUUGUUUGUUUUGCAGACUGCUGGGCACAAGGAUCUGCUUGAAGGCGAUCCUUACUUGAAGCAGAGACUGAGACUUCGUAACUCUUACAUCACCACACUCAAUGUCUGUCAAGCUUACACACUGAAGAGGAUCCGUGACCCGAGCUACAAUGUGACUCUACGGCCUCACAUCUCUAAGGAGAUUGCUGAAUCGAGCAAAGAACUCAUCGAGCUUAACCCGACGAGCGAAUACGCGCCUGGACUUGAAGAUACACUCAUCUUGACCAUGAAGGGUGUCGCUGCUGGUCUACAGAACACCGGUUGAGUAAAAAAAAACAGAGAUGAGUCUCUCUGUUUCUCCACACUGCUUUUUUUAUCUACGGAUUCAAAAAUAAUAAAUUAUGCGGUUGGAUUUAUUGGUUUGUUUAUGUGAAUCCACCGUCAAAGUGUUGAUCUUUGUGUACGAAUUACUCUUUCGAGACUAUGAACACAUGCUCUGUUUUUUUUAUCGAAUGUAACAAAACAGAGCAAGGGAAUCUCAUUCUUGUUUGUUUGUCUUUUACCUAACCUUCCUCUUUACUAUUUGAUUUCGGUUUGGUUUGUUCUAAACCGGAUAAUAAUAAAUAGAUUUUGGUUUAGUUUUUUGCCUCAUAUACUUUCGUUUGUCUCGGCUCAGUAACAUACAUGUCGGCUGAGUAAUGUGUAUGUGGUCCCGAGAAACGACAGACAUGUUUGAGAAAAGAAGCCGUUGAAGAAGGAAAGUAGUGGUGCAAGAAAACGACAUGGUGUUUGGGUCUUGUCUAUACGCCUUGCAUUUUUUUUAUUCUGUUACGCCUCAACGGUUGUAUUUAUUGUGGGGAAUUUAUUAUAGUGUACACUGUACGUGUCUGUUUUUUACUAAAGCGUACUUUAUGCGUAAUUAACUGUUAAGUAAUUAAGUACGUUUUUGAUUUUACUCUCGAAUGUAAAAGAGUCCACACUCGAAAAGUCGGUGUAUGUAAACCCACGCGCCUCCACUGGUUUUGAAGGUGGAAAAAUAAUAAGAAAAUGAGAAAUUUUAUGAAUAGGCUUUUCUGAUAUUUUAUGAAGACGACCAAAAAUAUUAUGGGAAAUUGGAUUGUAUCACACCGAAAAAAUCACUAAUUAGUUAAAUGUUCAAUUUACCUAGUACACCUAUACACAACAUGACUUUUGUAUAACAACUCUAUUUUGCCCUUUAACGUAACUGGUGAAAUCUGCUGAUAAAAAAUAAAAAAUUAAUAACUAUUAGUUGUCAAAAGUAAUUCAUGGCCGUUCAAUAUUUACAUUCUCUUUCUUUGUAAUUUUUUUCGUAAAUUUUCUACGAUGGCUAUGGUCUCACUCACAUAUUAGAUUAACAUUGUCAUCACCGCCUGAAUUCCGAGAAUAUUUUGUGAUCGAGAAACUUAUCUCAAAGUCCCAACUUUUUCCGCUUUCGAAACCGCCAGAGCGCCGCUGCAGUUAUAGCCUAAGCGGUGAAGAGCAUUACCUGGGCCGAUUCGCCUCCACAUCGUCGGUUCGACGGAGAUCCUUCUCACUUCUCUCUAAUUGCGUAGAUGAAUCAGCUGAUAGUGACACGUAAAAUGAUGAAUGAUAUGCGUCUACCGUAUUUGAGAUCACACUAACAAUGCUGCAACAAACAUGGAAGUCACAUACACAUGAAGUGAAAUUAACUGGCUUUACUAUUUCAUUGACAGAUUCUUGUUCUGUUCUACAUAGACGUAUUAAGUAAUGCAAUAUAUUAUGUUACUAUAUUAUUUUAUCAUGUUCCAUUACAUUUGACGAUUACUAAAGAGUGCUAUAUUUUAUUUAGAAAUAUAGUUUGUAAUUUUCUUAAGUUCUAACUAUCGUUACAUGUUUUUGAACCUGUAAAUUUUUUACUAUGAUAUAUAUUCUAUAGUUUAAUAUUACAUAUGUACUUUUUAGAUUUUGAUAUUUGAGUUUAUAUUUGGGUUAGAGUUUAGUGAUCCAGGUUUAAUUAGGGUUUAAUAUUUAAAAGGUUAUAGUUUAGUGAUUCAGGUUUAGGGUUUAAUAUUUAGAAGGUUAGGGUUUAGUGAUUAGAGUUUAGUUUUCGUUAUUUAAAAGGUGAGAGGGUAUAAUUGGAGGCAACAUUAAUUUCUUUCAUGCAAUCAUAGACAUUUCUUUAUUUCACCAAUAUGUACUAUGUUAUUUAUUUUGUUCAAUUCUAUUUGGGUUUAAGGUUUAUAUUUUGGAUACUAGUUUAGUGAUUAGAGUUUAUGGUUUAGUAUUUAGAAGGUGAUAUGAUAUGGUUGAGAUCAACAUUAACUUCUUCCUUGUAAUCAUAGACAUUUCAUAAUAUCACCAAUAUAUACUAUAUUAUUUAUUUUGUUUCAUUCUAUAUGGAGUUUGGCUUUAUAUUUAGGUCUAUAGUUUAUAUUUGCGUUUAAGAUUUACUUAUUAGAGUUUAGGGUUUAGAAUUAGAUGGUUGGGGUGGGAUUGGGAUAAUGUUUAGUGAAUAAAUAUGAGUUUGGGGUAAUGUUUAGUAUUUAGAGAUUGUGGGUGUGGUUUAAGUCCUAUACUAUUUUGGAUAUAUAAAAUAGAACACUCGCUGUAUAUGUAUGUGGUCAAUAAAUGUGUACCGUGUGUGUCUUUUUUUUUUCCAUAUGAAAUAGUUUUCGGUCAUUUCUGACGGUAUAUUAUUUGUAAUACAGCAUGAGAUAGAACACAUGUUUAUCGGAUAUUGCAAGUGAAAAAAGUAUAACCUGUUCAUUUUGGGUGUAUAUGUUUUUCGGAUAACAACACAAAAUAUAUUGGAAUUAUCUUUUAUUUUAAAAUAUAUCUUCCUGAUUUUGGAUAAGUUGUUUUAUUAUUAAUAAUAACUUAUCUAACCAAAUAAUUUUAAAUUCGUUUUUAUGUUUUAGUUAAUUUAUAGAUUUUAUUCAUAAGGGUAUAAACGAUAUUAACCACUCUAACUUUUAACGUGAGAGCUCGAUUCCAAAAAUUUACUUCGCAAAUAAUAGUAUAGAUUUUUUAUUCUAUCGAAAUCAUUGUCAUCUACUUAAUUUCACUUUGAAAUAUGACUAUUUUACAAAUAUGCCCUGUUAUGGGCCACUAAAGAAAACAAAAACAAAAGAGGAUAAAUACGUGUCAGUGGACGACGAAUACAAGGCACCGACUAUAGCCAGCGCAGUAUAGCACCGGCCAACCGUAAAGUACACAUAACCAACCUUACUACAUUUUUUUAGUUUUAAAAUAAUUUUGGGUUUCUAGUUAUCUUUAUUGUUGGGCGUUAUGUUCAUAAUUAUCUUCCCUUUACAACAACUUAUCAGUUAAAAAAUUAGUUAAAAGGAGCUUUGUAAUUUGUAUGGCGCAUAUUGUAUUCUCUUUUCUUUUCAAUCCCUUGAAGAGAGGGCAACUAACACAUUAAGAACAAAAGCAUUAGCUAAAGUUGCUUGCAUUAACAAACUAAAUCAUUCUCUAAUAAAUCCGUAUCUCCUUUUUGUAGUUGGUAACGACUAAAGUAUUUUUAAAAAUUAACUUUUAAAUCGGUCACCUAUCUCCCUUUUUCUUUGGUUGAAAGUUUAUAAUACAGUCAAAUAUACUCAUUCAUUCCGUUUUAUAUUAAGUGUCGUUGUAGAGAAAUUUCGACUUUCAAUAAAAAAUUUAUUAAUUUUAUUCAGCAAUUUAUUUUUGUAUUGGUUGAAAUAUAAUAAAACGUAUAGAUAAUUGUGUUUUUAUAUAGAAAAUAUACAAAAUUAAUUGUUUCCUUAGUCGGUGUGCAUAAACCCAAAACGACCCUUAAACAGAAAAAGUAGUAAUUAAUGAUAAAUAUAGAACUAUAUCUAAAUUCAUUUUUUAUAUCAUACAGGUAUACAUAUUUCAGUAAACUCAUUUUCCUAGAAUAUUUUUAGAUUUAGUUAGUUAUACAUGAAUUUGUGUAGAAUCUACAAAACAUAAAUAACAUCAACUUUGUAGGAAAAUGAAUAAAGUUAUAUCUUUUUAUUGAUGAAAAUGCUGUGACAAAGAGAACUGGAAUGAGAAGAUGGUUCACUACUCUCUAAGAGUAACAAAGGAUAAAAAAAUGAAGAAUCCAAAUCUUCCUCUUUUGCCCAUUUUGGUAAAGCCCCUUCCUCACUCGCAUACAAACUUCUCUUAUGUACAGAGUAAUCUCCAACCAAUAAACAGCUCUCAAUACCUAAACAAGUGAAGCUGAAGGAGCCAAAAUGAAUGUAAGAAGAACAUAGACAGAGACAUAGCACAGGGCAAUGAAGAGGGGGGGGGGAAUGAAUGAACAAAUCAUAAAGAGCUGAAAACUCUACACUAAUGAGGUUCCCCGGUAAUGAAGUUAAGUGGGAUUAUUGAGGGUAAUGAGUGAAAAGAGUGGAUUUUAUAGUGUAUUAACUGCUAUAGUGUCUCACUGAGUACUCCAAUACUUCUUUGCUUGGACAGACAAUCUCCUUUACACGAGUACCGUUCUUGUAUAUCUUCACUGUCGGUACAACCCUCACGUUCUCUGCAUUACCUAUAGACUGACAUUUAUCUAUGUCCACCUAACCAAUAAAACAAGGUAAGACAUUAGAGUCAAUCUCUUCCUAUGUUAUUAUGACAUGUUCAUAUUUAUGUAUGUCCACCUAACCAAUAAAACAAGGUAAGACAUUAGAGUCAAUCUCUUCCUAUGUUAUUAUGACAUGUUAUGACUUUACCUUGAGGAAGUGUAUAGAAGGAUAGCGAGUACAUAACGAGUCCACAAACGGAGAUAACUGCUUGCAUUAAUGAUCAGAGGCCGUCGAGAAGUGGAUAACCGAAACUCCUGGUAGAUUCAUGGCAGCUUUGUACUGUUCACGGCUGUAAACUUCCUCAACUUCACCACCGAACUCCAUAUUCAAAACUUCCUCUCCACGAGACUUCUUCAACGCGACUUGAGCAUGAAACAAAGAUUCAGCAACUUCCUUAUCAUGAGGCAGUUCCUUUCUCAACGCUUCGUAAUCACUCACUGCAGCCGCCCAUCUCUCCAUCUACAGUUCAAACAGAGAAAAUCUCAAUCCCUUAAGCUUACAACAAAAUUACAAGUUUGAUUAGUGUACCUUGCUAUUUGAGGCAGCUCUACGGAGAAGAGGCUUUGUGUAACGUGGCUGGAACCGCAGCGCGUGGUUACAAUCUUCGAUAGAGCGUUCCCACAUUCCAAGUUUGAACCAACAAGCUGCUCGGUUACAAUAUAGAAUAGCGUUGCAAGGGUCAAGCCUAAGGCCUUCUGCGUAAGCAGAGCUUGCUUCGGUGUAUCUUUCUGAUUUGUAGAGAUCGUUACCGCGAACACGAGCCCUAGCGACCAAUGUAACGGUAUUGUGUAACAUGGCAACUUCGUUGCUUCGUGGAUCUAAUUUGCUAGCUUUCUCAGCAGCCAUCACUGCAUUUUCAAACCUGCAAGAAGUCAUCAUCUGCUCUUUAACCUUUUUCUAAAAAACUGAUAUUAAUAGUUUUAUUUAACAUUGGUUUUCUUGAAUCUUACCUUCCUAAAGCCAUCUCCACUUGAGCUUUGACGAAAUGCGUAUAAGCUUCACAGGCCAUACCAGAGAACCGAGACUGAGAACAAGAUGCUGGAAACGGCUCUACUUUGGGAACUUCUAAUAGCUUUGAAUGGGCAGCAUCAAGCCGGUGAAGUUUCAAGAGUGUUUCUACUUUACACAUAGCUAGCUGCAUUUUUAAGACCAAUGUUUGCGCUUUAUAUGAGGUUAUUGAUUAGGUGGACGUUUAGACCAACUUUUUUAGUGCUUAGAUCGAUUAAUUUAAGAAAAUCAUCUAAAAAAAUCAUUUUGUAGACCGAUUUUUAAGACACAACAUUUGAUUCCGGUUCUGACUCUAUUAUCCGAGAUAAGUUGAGUAAUUACCUGAGGCGAAAAAUCAGCUCCAGCAUCAAUAGCUGCAUCUACUUCCAUCAAAGCAGCUUUCCAAUCACCAAGCCUUCUCGCAUCUGCGCACUUGCUCAUAUGUUUCUCAACAGCUUCAAGCUUCUGCAGUUCCAUAGGAUCUGAUGGUUUCCCAAGAAAACAAAGAUGCUUCCUUGCACUAUCAGCCUGUCCUAAUCUGCAACCAAUCAAACAAGACACAUGAAGGUUUUCAGAAAGGCAAGAGCUUUUGUCUAACAAACAUUGAAGCCUAGACUGAUUUUUUCAAUGUCUAGACCAAAUUUUUUUAGAAAAUCAUUUAAUAAAACUCGCUUAGUCGCCGCCUAGACCAAUAUUUAGAACACUGCAUUGAAGUUUCAGACAACAUAUAAAAAAAGGCAAAAGAUUUGUCUCCUCACAGCAUCGAGAAACUACCUAAUAAGCAAUGAAGCCAAACGUUGAUGAGCUCUUCCAUAGUUGGGAUCCAAUCUCAAAGCCUCUUCACACUCCUUCACAGCUUCACCGACUCGACCCAAACCCGUCAACGCAGCGGCUCGGUUGCUCCGGUAAGCCGCGUUCGCCGGCGACAAAGCUAUCGCCCUAUCGUACAACCUUAAAGCCUCGCCGAACAAACCUUUCCUAUACAUCUCGUUUCCUACUCUCUUCACUUCCUCUGCGUCCGAACCUAACAUCGCGGCGGGACUGCUUCUGAUGGAACCACCGACGGUCACCGGAGCAACAGGCUUCGCCGGAGAUACGCCGCUUCCUCCUCCGCCUCGCAUUAUGCUGCCGUGUCCGUACGUUCCCGUGCCGGAUCCGAGAACGUCGCUUCUCGAGCGGCUCUGCGUCAUUCCGGUGAGUUGGAUCUUCCCGGAGGGGCAGAUGUUUCCGGUGGGAAGCACAUUCGCCGCCGUAGCUGGAGAAGUGGCGGAGCUUUGAGUGGAAGAGGAGACGAGCGGUUGUGAGUUGGAAGUAACCGAGUCGGAUCUGGCUUGACUCGUUCUCAGGUUGCCACUACUCGAACCGGAUUGACUACCGCGAACCGAACCGGAUCUUCCGAUAACCGGGGGAUGUCUAGUUACAGAUCCUGAGGAGCUAGAGCUGCUGCUGCUUGUUGUUGUUGUGGUUGUGGUGAGUCCACGUGGCUGAGAACGGAGCGGAGAAACCGGUGAACCGAGAUCUAGCUCGCGAAAAUCCGGUUUAUUAAUUUCGGAGGUUAAUGAAUCACGGGGAGGGACCGGUUUACCUGACGGUGACAUUUUUUUAUUUUAUUUUCUGGUUAAGAAAAAAAUCAAAACGAGAUCAGUGAAUGAUGGAAGGAAACUCUAACGGACGUUUCUCGGUAAGGUUUCAAAUGGCCGUUAAUGGAGACGGCGAAGAGUGGAGAAGGAGACGAAGGGAGGAGGAUUAGAUACUAUGAAAAAAAGCACGGAAGGGAAAGUGAAAGAGAGAGAGAUGGAGAUGGGGAUCUCGUGAUUUAAAAGGGUGAAGCAAAGAAUGAAUGUGAGUGCCUAGAGAGAGAGAAGAGAGAAGGUUCACAGAAGAAGAGGAGUUGAGUGAAGAUGGAGAAGCAGACCGAAUAUUAACUUAUUCAAAAGAUAUAUAUACAAUAUUAUUGGACCAAAUCUCCAAAAUAGCACUUUUUUAAGUUUAUAUCACAAAAAUAGCAUUCAAAAACUAAAAUGACUAUAAUAGCACCUUUCUAAGCUUAUCAUUUGAAAAUUUUAAUUUUUUUAUUUUUCAAAAUUUGAAAUCUUAUCCCCAAAACCUCAUUUCUCAACUCUAAACCCAAAACCCUAAACUCUAAACCCUAAACCCUAAACUCUAAACCCUAAACCAUAAAUCCUAAACCCUAAACUCUAAACCCUAAAAUCUAAACCCUAAACCGUAAACCCUAAACCCUAAAAUCUAAACCCUAAACCCUAAACUCUAAACCCUAAACCCCAAACCCUAAAUCUUAAACCUUACCCUUUAACUCUAAACCCUAAGUUUGUGACUUUUGAUAAAACAUUAAGUGCUAUUUUUGUGACUUUUAACCUUGAGUGCUAGUUUGAGAACAUAAACUUGAUUUAGUGUUAUUUUUGUAUUUUUCUCAUAUUAUUAUCUAUUAUCUACUAUCUAUUAUCUAUUUAUAUAAAUAACAGUUUGCUGUCUACUCCUUAGGACACGUAGGAUUCCACAUACAUAAAUCAAGAUUUCUUAGGCUGACACGUGUUAAGUGAGAACAAAACUCAUCAUCAAUAUUAUUAAAACAGGAACGUGACCUAUUGAUAUAGGUUUGGUCCAACUAUUUUAAUAAAAUUAUUAAAAAAAAUUAUUAAUCAUUUAAGAUAA
rnacentral:lncRNA from 1 species